rnacentral:lncRNA from 1 species
AACUAACUAAACUAGAUAGUGAAACUCAAUUGCAACAACGUAAAGCUAGGUAAAAUUAUAUGAAGCUUAUUUGAACUAUGGACCAUUGGAUUUAGCUAUUCAACAUUUCAAAAUUUUGAUUUUACUAUCUAACUUUUCGCUCUGUUUGAUUUGAUUCCGCCAAUGACAGUUUGACUUCAAAAAUUUAAUGCAUCAUCUGUUUUUACGGAUUUAGUUCAUAUAUUUCAUACAAGUCUCUAACUAUAAGUUUAUUAAAAUAAGUGAUUAGCUUAAAUUUUAGAGCUAAAGUGUCAUCGACUCACUCAAAUAAAACAAAUUGAAAAGUUGGCUAAUAAAACUAAAAUUUUGAAAGGUUAGGUAGCUAUAUGGUUUAUAGCUUAAAUAAGUUUUAUAUAUUUUUCUCAAAAAAAUUAAAAUACAUAAACUUUCUUAUAAGUACUCAUAAUUUUUUUUUAACUUUUCUGCCAAUUUUCAAAAAUUUACUUUUUGUCGUUUUAAAAUUCAAAAUUUUUUUUAAAGGGUUACGACAUCAAUAGAAAUGACAAAAUGACCAAACUAAUCUUGCUUAUUUUAUAAGAAAAAAAAUAACUUUUAAAUAUAUCUUUAUCAUUUCAAAGAGUAUUUUGAUAUAAACUAUAAGAAAUGAGCCGAAUAGUGAUAGAAUCCUAACUUAGGUUUAGUCUGGCUUUGAGGUCCAUGUGACGCUAUUAGAUAAAAAAGAGUUAGAGUAAAAGUAUAUAGGGAUAUAUUUCUGUGUUCUCUGAUGGAACUGUAAAAAAUAUAUCGUAACCGAUUCACCGUCAUAUGCGGAAAAUAAACUUAACUGAAAAUAUGAAUCAACUAAGAUUCGAACAUGGGACCUCGGGUAUCAACUAUCAAGUUCUUUACCACUUGCGCUAGGGAUGGUUGGUUGCGGAAUGCGAUAUAACGUAUGGAACAAACAAGAUAUUUUUUUCAAUAUAUAUUUUUUUCACAAUUCCAAACAAAGCCAGAAGUGAACUAAAUAUAUAAAAUUUUUAAAAAAUAUAUAAAUUUUUAAAAAUAAUUUUUUUUAGUUAUUUUAAUAAGAAAAAGC